ACGCUGGCGGCAGGCCUAACACAUGCAAGUCGAGCGGUAGAGAGAAGCUUGCUUCUCUUGAGAGCGGCGGACGGGUGAGUAAUGCCCAGGAAUCUGCCUGGUAGUGGGGGAUAACGUUCGGAAACGGACGCUAAUACCGCAUACGUCCUACGGGAGAAAGCAGGGGACCUUCGGGCCUUGCGCUAUCAGAUGAGCCUAGGUCGGAUUAGCUAGUUGGUGGGGUAAUGGCUCACCAAGGCGACGAUCCGUAACUGGUCUGAGAGGAUGAUCAGUCACACUGGAACUGAGACACGGUCCAGACUCCUACGGGAGGCAGCAGUGGGGAAUAUUGGACAAUGGGCGAAAGCCUGAUCCAGCCAUGCCGCGUGUGUGAAGAAGGUCUUCGGAUUGUAAAGCACUUUAAGUUGGGAGGAAGGGUUGUAGAUUAAUACUCUGCAAUUUUGACGUUACCGACAGAAUAAGCACCGGCUAACUCUGUGCCAGCAGCCGCGGUAAUACAGAGGGUGCAAGCGUUAAUCGGAAUUACUGGGCGUAAAGCGCGCGUAGGUGGUUAGUUAAGUUGGAUGUGAAAUCCCCGGGCUCAACCUGGGAACUGCAUUCAAAACUGACUGACUAGAGUAUGGUAGAGGGUGGUGGAAUUUCCUGUGUAGCGGUGAAAUGCGUAGAUAUAGGAAGGAACACCAGUGGCGAAGGCGACCACCUGGACUGAUACUGACACUGAGGUGCGAAAGCGUGGGGAGCAAAC
rnacentral:rRNA from 1 species